CCAGACUCCUACGGGAGGCAGCAGUGGGGAAUAUUGCACAAUGGGGGAAACCCUGAUGCAGCGACGCCGCGUGAAGGAAGGAGUAUUUCGGUAUGUAAACUUCUAUCAGCAGGGAAGAAAAUGACGGUACCUGACUAAGAAGCCCCGGCUAACUACGUGCCAGCAGCCGCGGUAAUACGUAGGGGGCAAGCGUUAUCCGGAUUUACUGGGUGUAAAGGGAGCGUAGACGGCAUGGCAAGUCUGAUGUGAAAACCCGGGGCUCAACCCCGGGACUGCAUUGGAAACUGUCAGGCUGGAGUGUCGGAGAGGCAAGUGGAAUUCCUAGUGUAGCGGUGAAAUGCGUAGAUAUUAGGAGGAACACCAGUGGCGAAGGCGGCUUGCUGGACGAUGACUGACGUUGAGGCUCGAAAGCGUGGGGAGCAAACAGGAUUAGAUACCCCUGUA
rnacentral:rRNA from 1 species